CAUAUUAGACAUCUGGUCUUAAGACAAGCCAUGAGACAAUUCUGUUCCUAGCUGGGAAAGGUUUUCCCUAGUACUUGAAGCCAGUGAGCUGGGUUAGAACAGGACUCAGAUGAUCUCAAGAACAUCUACACACUUGGAUCAAGAUUUCACCUCCUCCCCUUCUUUCUUCUCACCUCUCUGGAGUAACAACCACACUGUUCGUAGCUAGUUCGUCAUGUGACCCACCAUGAACCCCACAGACAGCAGAAGCACAGGUGUAAUCCCAGCAAUAAGAACGGCCUCUGGAAUCUGACCUCUCAUCCUGAGUCCACCAUGAUGUUUCUACAGAGAAGCUGGAAGUAAAAUGGAAAUCCCUUUCCACAUGUUAAUCUGUGUUCAAAAUUCCCUCCCUGUCACUGCAGAUGUUUCAGAGAGAGGCUCUUCCUUGGAGAUGCUCUGGGGGUUAGAGGGAGGCACCUCUUUGUCCUUACAGCCUGUAAAGGAUUCUCCUACGUCAUUCUUGAAGCUGAUUUGAGUCAGUCACAUUCUCUUAUCUGUGUCAGUUUCUUUAAACUCCAUAAAGAACACAAGCCACACCCCCAAUCCAAGCCAUUUGGACGCACAUGCGACUGCUGUGACAUUGGCCUUUCCUUUGGCAGCGAAGGCCUCAGCUGGUGAUAACAGCCCAGGCUGGAGAGUAAAAACAAAGGGACCACAUCUGGGCCCUUCCUGUGUGUAGCACCCCGAGGACCAGGAAUGUACAGUACUGCCUACUGGCCCACCAGAGUUGUGAAGAAGAACCAAAGGACUCUUUGCAAACUGUAGAGAGCAUACCAAGACGAGGGCAUGAUGAAAUUCUUGAUGUUGUGAUCACAAAACCACCUUGCAUCCAGAGGGUUUCGACCUUGCCAGGACAUGAGAUUGAGCCUCAUCCCAAGAGUGACAACCAGGUUCAGUGGAGCCUAGAGGAAUGCCAGAAAGGCCUCUGCACCUAUUGGAAGGUGAUCAGCAGGGAGGAGCACAGGGGCCGUGUUGCUGAGAGGGACUGGUGCGAAGAGUGAACAGGGCUGUCCCCUGCUAAUAACAGCUUCUGAAGUACAACUGGGAAGCAGGUAUAAGGGUGACUCUAAGCCACAACUUUUAAGAGCAUCUCCUUCACUAC